rnacentral:rRNA from 1 species
GAGUUUGAUCUUGGCUCAGAACGAACGUUAGCGGCGCGCCUAACACAUGCAAGUCGAGCGAGAAGGGAGCAAUCCCUGUAAAGCGGCGCACGGGUGAGUAACACGUAGGUAAUCUACCUCGAGGUGGUGGAUAACCUUCCGAAAGGAGGGCUAAUACAGCAUGAGACCACGUCUUCGUAAGAGGAUGAGGUAAAAGCGGGCCUCUAUACAUAAGCUCGCGCCAUGAGAUGAGCCUGCGGCCCAUCAGGUAGUUGGUAGGGUAACGGCCUACCAAGCCGAAGACGGGUAGCUGGUCUGAGAGGAUGAUCAGCCACACUGGAACUGAGACACGGUCCAGACUCCUACGGGAGGCAGCAGUGGGGAAUCUUGCGCAAUGGGCGAAAGCCUGACGCAGCGACGCCGCGUGAGUGAUGAAGGCCUUCGGGUUGUAAGACUCUGUGGAGGGGGACGGAAGUAAGGGUUAGGUGGAACA